rnacentral:rRNA from 1 species
CCUACGUGGGGCAGCAGUGGGGAAUAUUGCACAAUGGGGGGAACCCUGAUGCAGCGACGCCGCGUGAGUGAAGAAGGAUUUCGGUAUGUAAAGCUCUAUCAGCAGGGAAGAAAAUGACGGUACCUGACUAAGAAGCCCCGGCGAACGACGUGCCAGCAGCCGCGGUAAUACGAAGGGGGCAAGCGUUCUCCGGCUUUACGGGGGGUAAAGGGAGCGCAGACGGGUGUGCAAGUCUGGAGUGAAAGGCGGGGGCCCAACCCCCGGACUGCUCGUGAAACUGUCAAUCUGGAGUGCAGGAGAGGUAACCGCAAUUCCUCGUGUAGCGGUGAAAUGCGUAGAUAUUAGGAGGAAC